rnacentral:rRNA from 1 species
ACGGGAGGCAGCAGUGGGGAAUUUUGGACAAUGGGGGCAACCCUGAUCCAGCAAUGCCGCGUGUGUGAAGAAGGCCUUCGGGUUGUAAAGCACUUUUGUCCGGAAAGAAAUCGCACUUACUAAUAUUAGGUGUGGAUGACGGUACCGGAAGAAUAAGGACCGGCUAACUACGUGCCAGCAGCCGCGGUAAUACGUAGGGUCCAAGCGUUAAUCGGAAUUACUGGGCGUAAAGCGUGCGCAGGCGGUUGUGCAAGACCGAUGUGAAAUCCCCGGGCUUAACCUGGGAAUUGCAUUGGUGACUGCACGGCUAGAGUGUGUCAGAGGGGGGUAGAAUUCCACGUGUAGCAGUGAAAUGCGUAGAGAUGUGGAGGAAUACCGAUGGCGAAGGCAGCCCCCUGGGAUAACACUGACGCUCAUGCACGAAAGCGUGGGGAGCAAACAGGAUUAGAUACCCUGGUAGUCCACGCCCUAAACGAUGUCAACUAGUUGUUGGGGAUUCAUUUCCUUAGUAACGUAGCUAACGCGUGAAGUUGACCGCCUGGGGAGUACGGUCGCAAGAUUAAAACUCAAAGGAAUUGAC